CUACCUCCCUUAAGAGCGAAGAGGACACAGGCCGAAGAUUGAGAAGGGGAAAUUCUGUCCUCCAACCGCGGUCCCUGCGCGCUGCAGCGGUUGUCUCCCGAGUGUGGUGGCUAUGGGGACUUGGAGAGCAUCAGAAUCCCUUGGAGGACUUGUUAUAACAGACUGCUGGGCCCCACCCGUAGUUUCUCAUUCUGUAGGCCUGGUGUGGAACCCAUGAAUGUGCAUUUCCAACAAGUUAUCUGUGAUGCUGCUGCUGGUCCGCACCUUGAGAACCCCUCAGUUAGAGGCUAUAUCAUCAGGGAGCUGGGGUACGAUCAGAUUAGAUAGUGCGUGUGAAAAGCACUGUGGACGUGACAAAACUCUGUGCAGAUAAAGAUGCACAGCGCCUCUAGGAUGUAGCCCCAUGUUUUUAUUCACUGUACAGUAGUUUACUUCUCUCCAGUUGCUUCCUCACUCUCUGGUAGGAGGAGAGUGGCUUCUCUUCCCUAAACCUUUUGAUAAAAUAGUUUGUUGACUUCUUUUCCCUAAUUAACUAUCUGACCUCUACCCCACCCCCCCGCAACUUCAUGGAAAAAUGACUUUCUCAGCGUUCGUUCCUGAAAUUAUUGCCAAACCCAGUGUUUUAUUCUUCACCCUGUUUGCCUCCUCUGAGCAUUGAAUGUUACCUACCUCUCUCCUUGAAUCCUGGCUCCAGCUAUCCUGGUUACGUUCUGAAUGUGCCUUUGCACGGUAUUUUCUGACUCUUCUUUUCUGUACUGAUACCUUUUCUUUCUGGAUACUUUCUUCUAUGGCAGUCUCAUACAUUCUCAAGGAUUUAACAUUUACUCCACUUAAAAGAGUUCCAAGAUCAUCUACUGAAUCAUUAAGCAAAUAUUUGUUAAAUCCAGGCUCUAUGCCCUUCCAAGUUGAGGCAACAGCAGUGGGAAGGAGGCAGGAAACAAACUGCAUCUGUUGGAGGAACUGCAAGAAGCUAGUGUGAUUGGGAGGGCUGUGGGGAGCAGAGGGAAGUGGCUGGAGUCUGAUCUCUAAGUGUCUAGCCCCUUCCUUUCUCCCAAGGCCCCAGUCCACACUAUCUGGCAUCUUCACUUCAUGGCUAAUUUAACACUGUCAGUGCUGUCAAUUGCUCUUCCCCCAGAACUGUAUUUUUCACAUCUGAAGUUCUGUUAAAGGACAACGUUUCACAA
rnacentral:lncRNA from 1 species